rnacentral:rRNA from 1 species
UAGGGAAUCUUCGGCAAUGGGGGGAACCCUGACCGAGCAACGCCGCGUGAGUGAAGAAGGUUUUCGGAUCGUAAAGCUCUGUUGUUAAGGAAGAACGAGUGUGAGAAUGGAAAGUUCAUACUGUGACGGUACUUAACCAGAAAGGGACGGCUAACUACGUGCCAGCAGCCGCGGUAAUACGUAGGUCCCGAGCGUUGUCCGGAUUUAUUGGGGGUAAAGCGAGCGCAGGCGGUUAGAUAAGUCUGAAGUUAAAGGCAGUGGCUCAACCAUUGUAGGCUUUGGAAACUGUUUAACUUGAGUGCAGAAGGGGAGAGUGGAAUUCCAUGUGUAGCGGUGAAAUGCGUAGAUAUAUGGAGGAACACCGGUGGCGAAAGCGGCUCUCGGGUCUGUAACUGACGCUGAGGCUCGAAAGCGUGGGGAGCGAACAGG